UUAUAAUUAAUAGAAUUGAACUAUCUCUGAAAGUAUCAAAAACUUUUAUGACGCCGUACAUUAAAUUAUA
rnacentral:tRNA from 1 species